AACUUUUAGCAAUGGAUCACUUGGCUCUCCCAUCGAUGAAGAACGCAGCGAAAUGCGAAAAGUAAUGUGAAUUGCAGAAUUCAGUGAAUCAUCGAAUCUUUGAACGCACCUUGCGCCCUUUGGUAUUCCGAAGGGCAUGCCUGUUUGAGUGUCAUUAAAUUCUCAACCUUGCAAGCUUUUUCUAGCUUGCGUGGCUUGGAUGUGAGGGUUUUUGCUGGCUUCCUUCAGUUGGAUGUUCUGCUCUCUUUAAAUUCAUUAGUGGAAUACUUUGUGGACGGUCACUUGGUGUGAUAAUUAUCUACGCCGCCUGACUCUGACUCAAGCCUUGCGGGAACCUGCUUAUAACCGUCUCUUCGGAGACAAUCGUUGACAAUUUGGCCUCAAAUCAGGUAGGACUACCCGCUGAUCUUAAGCAUAUCAAUAAGCGGAGGCU
rnacentral:misc_RNA from 1 species